AAGAACAUCUACUGUUUUUCCGGUUCUCGUCCGAUCACCAAAGUUAAGCAAUGUCAGGCCCGGUCAGUACUUGAGAGGGUGACCACCGGGUGCUGUAGGCU
rnacentral:rRNA from 1 species